GAUGAACGCUGACAGAAUGCUUAACACAUGCAAGUCAACUUGAAUUUGGGUUUUUAACUUAGAUUUGGGUGGCGGACGGGUGAGUAACGCGUAAAGAACUUGCCUCACAGCUAGGGACAACAUUUAGAAAUGAAUGCUAAUACCUAAUAUUAUGAUAAUAGGGCAUCCUAUAAUUAUGAAAGCUAUAUGCGCUGUGAGAGAGCUUUGCGUCCCAUUAGCUAGUUGGAGAGGUAACAGCUCACCAAGGCGAUGAUGGGUAGCCGGCCUGAGAGGGUGAUCGGCCACAAGGGGACUGAGACACGGCCCUUACUCCUACGGGAGGCAGCAGUGGGGAAUAUUGGACAAUGGACCGAGAGUCUGAUCCAGCAAUUCUGUGUGCACGAUGAAGUUUUUCGGAAUGUAAAGUGCUUUCAGUUGGGAAGAAAGAAAUGACGGUACCAACAGAAGAAGUGACGGCUAAAUACGUGCCAGCAGCCGCGGUAAUACGUAUGUCACGAGCGUUAUCCGGAUUUAUUGGGCGUAAAGCGCGUCUAGGUGGUUAUAUAAGUCUGAUGUGAAAAUGCAGGGCUCAACUCUGUAUUGCGUUGGAAACUGUAUAACUAGAGUACUGGAGAGGUAAGCGGAACUACAAGUGUAGAGGUGAAAUUCGUAGAUAUUUGUAGGAAUGCCGAUGGGGAAGCCAGCUUACUGGACAGAUACUGACGCUGAAGCGCGAAAGCGUGGGUAGCAAACAGG
rnacentral:rRNA from 1 species